rnacentral:rRNA from 1 species
AGGACGAACGCUGGCGGCGUGCUUAACACAUGCAAGUCGAGCGGUAAGGCCCUUUCGGGGGGUACACGAGCGGCGAACGGGUGAGUAACACGUGAGCAAUCUGCCCUUCACUUCGGGAUAAGCCUCGGAAACGGGGUCUAAUACCGGAUAUGACUGCGCCAUGCAUGUGGUGUGGUGGAAAGUUCUGGCGGUGAGGGAUGAGCUCGCGGCCUAUCAGCUUUGUGGUGGGUAAUGGCCUACAAGGCUUCGACGGGUAGCCGGCCUGAGAGGGUGACCGGCCACACGUGGGACUGAGACACGGCCCAGACCUCCUAACGGGAGGCGAGCGAGUGGGGAAUAUUGGACAAGUGGGGACGAAAGCCUGAUUACCAGUACAACGUCCGCGUGAGGGAUGGACGGUCCGUUCGGGUUCGUAAACCGUUCUACCGUACGCGUCCGGACGAACGG